UACGUAGGGGGCAAGCGUUGUCCGGAUUUAUUGGGCGUAAAGAGCGUGUAGGCGGCCUGGAAGGUCAGCUGUGAAAACUCGAGGCUCAACCUCGAGACGUCGGUUGAAACCACCUGGCUAGAGUCCGGAAGAGGAGUGUGGAAUUCCCGGUGUAGCGGUGGAAUGCGUAGAGAUCGGGAGGAACGUCAGUUGCGAAGGCGGCUCUCUGGACCAGCACUGACACUGAGGCACGAAAGCGUGGGGAGCAAACAGG
rnacentral:rRNA from 1 species